rnacentral:ncRNA from 1 species
AUAAUAUUAAGUUUGAUUUUGGUUUUGGAUGUGAUAAGAUAGUAUUACUUAUUUUUAGUUUAUUAGUGUGUGAUAUUUUUUUUCCACUGGUAGUUUUUGAAUUGUUUUAUUAGUGUUCCAGAAUAAUCGGCUAUACAUUUUAAUUUUUAACUCUAAUUGUUGUGAAACUUUUUUCUUUUAUUUUUUUUUAUUUAAUGUUUUGUAAAAUAUUUAUUAUUUUUUUAUUUUUGUGAGAAGUUUUUUAAAUUUGUUUUAUUGAACUGGAUUAGUACCCAGGUAAUCAAAAUUUAUUAGUUCGGGAGUAAAGUUGUAUUUAAACCGAAAAAAUAUUGACUGACCUUAGAUUUUUUUUUGGAACAUGUUUUGGAGAGCCCUCCUUGGUAGUUUUUUUUUAGGUACAUGUAUGAUUGUUUAGUUUUUAUAUUAAUUUUGAGGCUUGUUUUUGUUCUAAAACAGAUAUAUACUUGGCUAAUAAAAGAUUUUUUAUGUGUUACUAUUUUUUAUUUAUCCGGAUGUAAUUUUUAUUAAUUAUUGAAGUUGGAAAAAAAAGUAAUUUUAUUUUAAUGUUAAAGUGAAUUAAAUAAAUGAGGUGGUACAAACCAUCCGUCAAUGGCCUAAGGGGGCGUAAGUUGUAGUAUGGUAGAAGUAAGGAAACUUGUUUCUAUUUU